GGAGUUAGUGUAUGAUCGACAGUUGGAUUUUCUCAGACAGAUUUUGGUCUGGGAAUUUCAAUUUUAGGUUUAUCAGAGCACAUUUUCACGAGACCACGUUGUAAAAGCUUUUCUUAUUUCAUCUGAACUGCAUCAGUGUGACUGGGGACCAUGACGACAGAGGUGGGAUCUGAAACAGAGGUGAAAAAAGAGCCGGAGAAGGCAGAGGAGCAGCCUGCAGAACCUGAACGACCAGCCACCAACCAGACAGACGAGGUCAAGGUCGUUGAGGCCGCCGAGCAGUCCAACGAAAGCCCCGCUCUGGCCACAGACUCAGCAGAGGCAAAGGAGAACCAGGAGGAGGCCCAGCCUGCCGACAACGCCACAGGACCGGAGGGAGAGGAGCCCCCAGCCUCACCACCAGCUUCAGAGAAGAAAGGCAUCUCCAGGUUCCUCCCUCCAUGGCUUAAGAAGCAGAAGUCUCAGAGUGUGGUGGGACCCAAAGAGAGCCAGGUGACACCCAAGGAAGAGGGAGGUGUGGUUCUGGUGAACGGGGAGGGUGAAAAGGCGGAGCAGGCCAAAGCAGAGCAGACAUCAUCGACCACAGCAGCUGAGCCACAGGUUGAAGAAGAGCAAGUGAACGUCGAGGCGGAGCCAGAACAGAAAGAGGAAGUGAAUUCAGAGGAACACGCGGAGAAUCAUUCCACUGGCAGUGCAGAAACUCAGCCUGCUAAGGAGGAGAAAGCAUCAGAGAAAUCUCAGGAAAAGAGUGCAGCGGAGGAGGAGAAAAAAGAAACAGAGGAAGGAGGAGAGGAGAAGAAAGACCAGGAAGAGAGCUUGAAGCCCGAGGGAGGGCGUUAUUUUAUCAAGUCGCCUCUGAAACUGACCAAGAAGGUGAAGAUGGUGAUGUGUCAUGUGAUCAUGCUGGAUGGAAGCCAGUUCCCCUGUGAGGUGGAGAAACGGGCCAAAGGCCAGUACCUGUUUUUCAAAGUGUGUGAAGCCCUGAACCUACUGGAGAAGGACUACUUUGGGUUGAGUUACAAAAACGCUGACCAGAUGUGCUGGCUGGACCCUACAAAGGAGAUCAAACGUCAGAUCUGCAAUCCCUCCUGGCAGUUAGCGUUCAAUGUCAAGUUCUACCCUCCUGAUCCGUCCCAGCUGACCGAGGAUAUUACCAGAUAUCUCCUGUGCCUUCAGCUGCGGCAGGACAUAGUUUCGGGGCGUCUGCCCUGCUCCUUCGUCACCCACUCUCUGCUGGGUUCCUACUCCCUGCAGGCCGAGCUGGGAGAUCACGACCCCGAUGAGCAACGCCUCGACUACAUCAGCGACUUCCAGUUUGCCCCCUCACAGACUAAGGAGAUGGAGGAGAAGGUGGUAGAGCUCCACAAAACUCACAGGGGGAUGACUCCUGCUCAAGCAGAUACCCAGUUCUUAGAAAACGCCAAGAAGUUGUCGAUGUAUGGUGUCGAUCUCCACCAUGCCAAGGACUCUGAGGGAGUGGACAUCAUGUUGGGAGUGUGUGCCAAUGGCCUGCUGAUCUACAAAGACCGACUCCGGAUAAACCGCUUUGCCUGGCCAAAAAUCCUCAAGAUCUCCUACAAACGUAGCAACUUCUAUAUCAAAAUCAGGCCGGGAGAGACGGAGCAGUUUGAGAGCACCGUGGGCUUCAAGCUGCCCAACCACCGCUCUUCCAAGAGGGUCUGGAAGGUCUGCGUGGAGAAUCACACCUUCUUCAGGUUGAUGACUCAAGAAGCACCCACUAAAGCCAAGUUCCUCACACUGGGCUCUAAAUUCCGCUACAGUGGGCGGACCCAGGCCCAAACACGACAGGCCAGCACCCUCAUCGACAGGCCGGCACCCUACUUCGAGCGCACCUCCAGCAAGCGCAUCUCACGAAGCCUGGAUGGAGCGCCAGUGAUCAACAUGAUCGAGGCCCAGGACUCGGCCCCCACCUCUGUGGGGAACGGCAGGGAGCCUGGCCUGGAACUCUCCUCUGACUCCUCCAAGGUAGAGGAGGAGCCUAGCGAAAGGGCGGCGGCCACACCUACUGAAGGCACUGAGAUGAAAAGAGAUGAGCCAGACUCCUCCCAGCAGGACCUGGAUAAGACUCAGGAGGAUGUUUUGAAACAUCAGGCUAGCACUAGUGAGUUAAAGCGCAGUUUUAUGGAGGCCACCCCUGAGACGCGUCCCAGUCAAUGGGAAAAGCGCCUCACUGCCAGCCCGGCUACCAGUCUGCGUCUGCAGGCCCAAGGGAGGAGCCCCCCACCCACAACCCAGGAACCUCUCUCUGACCUCACAGUGGACACGGUCUCUAAGAGUUCAGAUGACAAACAGAAAUCAGACGAGACAACGUUGCAGGCAGCAGAGGUUGAGAUAGAAGAGACGGUAGUCGUCGAGGAGAUCAGGGUGGCACCCAAAGGCUCUGUCACCAUCACCACCCCCGAGGUGGUGGUCACCCCUGUCGCCGUGGAGACAGAGGUCGAGAAGCCCGAAGAGGAAGUGAUAGAGGAAGUGAUAGAGGAAGUUAAGGAGGAGCAGAAGAGGCCUGUGAGCGUGUCCUCAGACAGCCACAGUGAGAGCGAGGAAGAGGCAGGGGAGUACCACCCCCAGGUCACUGUCAGCACCUCAGUGGAACAGAUCAAAGAAGAGCCUGAGGAAGAGGAUAAGGAGGAAGUGGACAACCAUGAAGAACCAGAGCAAGUUGCAGAGCCCGAACCACUCCCAGAGGUUGAGGUAGAGACCAUGCCUUCCCCUGCAGUAGUGGAAGAAACGCCUAUGGCAGAGCCAGAGACAGCCCUUGUGGUCGAUGCCCCCGCUGAGGAGGAGCGCACCGAGGACAUCCUGGUUACCCCUGAGGAGGCCCCUAACGGGCAUGCUGAGGACCAGCCUGGCCUGGUGGCUGUGGAAGAAGAAGAGGAGGAAGAGGAGGAGCCCAGAGUCAACGGGGACGCGUCUCACGCUGAGACGGAGCGCAUUCCUCAGGUUAUUUGUUGCUCUGAGCCACCUGUGGUGAAGACCGAGAUGGUGACCAUCUCAGACACGUUUGCGGCCCAGAAGACUGAGAUUGCCACUAAGGAGGUUCCCAUCGUGCACACAGAGACAAAGACCAUCACUUACGAGGCUGCACAGCUGGACGGCAGUGGAGACGGUGAACCAGGCAUUCUCAUGACCGCCCAAACCAUUACCUCUGAGUCGCUGUGCACCACCACCACCACACACAUCACCAAGACAUUAAAAGGUGGUCUCUCAGAAACCAGGAUCGAGAAGCGCAUUGUCAUCACCGGAGACUCAGACAUCGACCACGAUCAGGCCUUGGCCCAGGCUAUAAAGGAAGCCAAAGAGCAGCACCCUGACAUGUCAGUGACCCGGGUGGUGGUCCACAAAGAGACUGAGCUGGCCGAGGAGGGCGAGGACUGAGGCACCAGUCUCCCUCCUCUCUACCUACCUGGCAUGACGUGAGAGAUACCUCUCUCAUCAAAAGACUUUGAAGCAGGCGAUGGAGUACUAGCUGGUUUGGGUUUGCCCCAAGGAGAUGGUGGCUUUAAAUCCCAGUAGAGCUGAAGAGCCUGUGAAGUUCAUACAUGGAUGUUUGAGAAACUCCUGUCCUCUCCCAAACUGAGAGUCAACCUGGUGAGAAGACGAGGUGAAGACAACCCAGAGGCUGAACUCCUAUGUGUCUGUUUCAUCGCACGCCUUCCUUUUUUUAUCACUCAGAAGAGAACCACUUAGCUAAUGUUUGUAGUGCGUUUUUAUUCUUAUGUGUUUUUUGCUAAAAUAAGAAAAAAAUGGCUAUCAUUGUUAAAACCAGAUAGGAUUUAUCAAGUGGUAAUUUUUAUUGUUGCGCAGUAUUCACAUUCCUAGUAUGUACAGACAGCUGGUGUUAUGAGAAAGUACAUUUCAAUAUCUAGCUUCCUGGAUUCUUGCAUCUGUAUGUGGACAGGAAGUAAGACUAGGUGGAAAUUAGCUUUGGACCUAGUCUUGUUCUAUGUUCUUAGAGCCAGAUGUUUAUCAUUUUUUUUGGGGGGGGGGCACACAGAAGAACAGCAAAUUAAUUUAAUUGGGGGAGUUUCCAAGGGAUCAGCAAAGGGUGAAGCACUGUGUCAUUUUGUACAUUGCAAUACAGUGCCAACACAUGUUCUUCUCUAUGCAUUCAAAACUGAAGCAUUCCAUUAAAGUGCAGGUGCUUUUCCAAUACAUCACUCAGAAAAAAAACUGUCAAAUUAAAAGCUUGGACACUUUUUUUUUUUUCUGUGACUUUCUGGCAUCAUUAAUCAUAAAUAUAUUUGUAGAACUUUUGGGGGGGUCUUUUAAACUUUUUGGUGUAUUUAUCUGUAAACUGAUUUACUGUAGAUGUUGAUGAGGUGUGUUUGCCCCUUUUAAAAAAUAUAUUUUUAAUAUAUUUCAGAGGUUUUUUGACAGCUAAAAGAAACAGUUGCCACCAUUUUAACAUUUUACCUGUAGAUUAAAGAGAUGGCUGCCUAGUGCUCUCUGCAGUCUGACCAACCCCACCAAGUCCAAUGACGGACCAUGUGUAUAGCAGAUCAUCUUAGAUAUUCAGCAGCUUGAAAAUUGUUUUCCCCCUCUCCACCACAGCCACCUAACCCUCUGUGUAACACUGAAAUAAACAUUUGUUAUUCUCUAA